GACGUAGGGCGCGAGCGUUGUCCGGAUUUAUUGGGCGUAAAGAGCUCGUAGGCGGCUUGUUGCGUCGACCGUGAAAACCCGGGGCUCAACUUCGGGCUUGCGGUCGAUACGGGCGGGCUAGAGUUCGGUAGGGGAGACUGGAAUUCCUGGUGUAGCGGUGAAAUGCGCAGAUAUCAAGAGGAACACCUGAGGUGAAGACGGGUUGCUGGGCCAACACUGACGCUGAGGCGCGAAAGCCAGGGGAGCAAACGGG
rnacentral:rRNA from 1 species